AGUUGUCAGUAGUUGGUUUUGAGGUACGUUAAUGUCAUGUUUUAUGCCCCUUCUCUUUGUGCAAUCUGAUUAUGUUUUUUAGGGCACUCAAUUAUUAUGCAAGGGCUCUUGUGCAAAUAAUGAGAUUCAUCACGAAAUUUUGCUCCACUAUCAUUGAACUGCCUAAUACUAUUAGGAUCAAAUAGUGUUAAAUAUUGGGUCAAAAUGUUCCGAUAAAUCUGAUUUUUUUUGCAGUAUGCCCUUAGCCAUGGCCUAUAGCAGUUGAAGCUUGAUCCUUUAAUUGCAAUUAUAUUUUUAUUUACAAUGCAAAAGAGAAGGUGACCUGUGUUUCUUCAUACUUAUCUUUAUUCUCGAUACAAACAUAGCAUAAACAUUGUUUGUGAGUAAGAUAUGAAUUUAGAAUGUCAUUCUUGAAAGUUUUAAUAUUGCCUCGUAUCUUCAUGUUUCUUUUUAACUGUUUCAAAUCAUAGAUGUUGACCAUUUCCUCAUCAAUACUGUAGCUAAUAUGAUAUAUAGUAAACAAUGAACCCCUUAAAAUGGAGCCUUAAGGGUUUAACUUAUGUGGGUUUGCAGUAGAAAUGCCUGUUGUUAUGAUGAUUCUGAGUACUUGUAUUAGCAUUGAUGUAGAACCUGGGAAUUAGAUAUCAAAGGAAACGAUUUCCUAAGGGAAAGGAAACGAUUUCUCAAUAAUAAUCGUUGUUAAAAGCUACUAAAUAAUAGAAACUAGCCCUAUUUAAAGAGUUGAAAACCGAAUCACAUUAGGAUUUUAGUACCUAAUUCAACCCUAGUUUGGAA
rnacentral:misc_RNA from 1 species